rnacentral:rRNA from 1 species
GGGGGGGGCAAGCGUUGUUCGGAAUUACUGGGCGUAAAGGGUGCGUAGGCGGCUUUCUAAGUCGGAUGUGAAAACUCUGGGCUCAACCCAGAGCCUGCAUCCGAAACUGGAAGGCUAGGGUUUUGGAGGGGAAAGCGGAAUUCCAGGUGUAGCGGUGAAAUGCGUAGAUAUCUGGAGGAACACCGGUGGCGAAGGCGGCUUUCUGGACAAAUACCGACGCUGAGGCACGAAAGCUAGGGGAGCAAACAGGAUUAGAUACCCUGGUAGUCCUAGCCCUAAACUAUGGAUACUUGCUGUGGGGGGGAUUGAAGCCCCUUGUGGCGAAGCUAACGCAUUAAGUAUCCCGCCUGGGGAGUACGGUCGCAAGGCUGAA